rnacentral:rRNA from 1 species
AUGGUGGACCGGCUGUCACGCCAGUGGCACAGCCGGGUAGCCAAGUCCGGAAGGGAUAAUCGCUGAAGGCAUCUAAGCGAGAAGCCCCCUCCGAGAUGAGACCUCCCGCCGCAAGGCUAAGGCCCCUCGAAGACUACGAGGUUGAUAGACCGGGAGUGCAAGCAUGGCGACAUGCUGAGCGGACCGGCACUAAUAGGCCGAGGACCUGGCC